rnacentral:rRNA from 1 species
GACGAACGCUGGCGGCGUGCUUAACACAUGCAAGUCGAACGAAGGGCGAUGGAAGCUUGCUUCUAUCAAUCUUAGUGGCGAACGGGUGAGUAACGCGUAAUCAACCUGCCCUUCAGAGGGGGACAACAGUUGGAAACGACUGCUAAUACCGCAUACGAUCUAAUCUCGGCAUCGAGGAUAGAUGAAAGGUGGCCUCUACAUGUAAGCUCUCACUGAAGGAGGGGAUUGCGUCUGAUUAGCUAGUUGGAGGGGUAACGGCCCACCAAGGCGAUGAUCAGUAGCCGGUCUGAGAGGAUGAACGGCCACAGUGGGACUGAGACACGGCCCAGACUCCUACGGGAGGCAGCAGUGGGGAAUCUUCCGCAAUGGACGAAAGUCUGACGGAGCAACGCCGCGUGAGUGAUGACGGCCUUCGGGUUGUAAAGCUCUGUUAAUCGGGACGAAAGGCCUUCUUGCGAAUAGUGAGAAGGAUUGACGGUACCGGAAUAGAAAGCCACGGCUAACUACGUG